GUCAUAGAUUUGGUGGGCACUGUCAUCUGUGAUCUUUGUGAUAUGACUUUCUUUAAGCACGUACUGAUGAAACUGUCACUUCAUAUUUUUUUCUUAAAGUCUACAAACGCUCUACAUUUAUUCACUCUGUGAUAUGGUUGGAUCCUAUAUGCUACUUUUAUUAUUGUCCUGUAAAUGGUUCAGUGCCUAUAAUUUAGGCUGUGUGUAGAAUGGAGCAUAAAGGAAAUUACCUCUACUAAUAAAUUACUACUAGAUUAUAGUAAUAAGGAAAAAAGCAUACAAAUUUGGCUCAGGUAUUCAUUAGUUAUAGGCAAAUCAGAAUACUUCAAAAUGAGAAGAUCCUGCCAUGGAAAAUAACUCACACCAUGCAGCAGGACACCUUCAGCUGUGGGGUCUUUGUAAUGCAGGUUUGAUAGUUACAUUUUCAAUAAUGAAUGGUUAGCUGUUGUGAAAAUUAGGUCAAAAAUUAUUUUAUUUUUUGGUGUAGAUGGCCAAGGAAGGUCCACAGAACUUCCCCAACAUCCCCUCCCACAUUGAUAUGGAACUUUGAAAAACACAUGGAGCAACUGCGAAAAGAAACGGCCGAGGAUAUACUAAAAAUGCAUGUUCAACAAAGCCAACAACUGCUUCAUGUGUGCCACUGAUAAAGAACCUGGAUGUGGCCCAAAGACUGGGAAUGAAGACAAGAGUUCAACAGAGUAAAGAACACAAACUGGAAGUGCAGUCUUUGUUGUUGAAAAUGUAUGCUAUACCCCAUCCACACUGAAGAGGCUCUGAAAUGUACAUCAACCAGGGAUAAAGAGAAAGUUAACACUGUUUCAUACUUAAUUGAAGUUAAUUGUCUGUUGGAAAAGAUUAAAGGUCUACAAAUUGUUUAAUUUGUCAAUAUUACAUUUUUAUUCAUUGAUUUUCUGGUCACCAUUACUGUGGUUACAUGUUCAGUAUAUGUAUUGACCAGCAAACCCACUGCAGCCUACCUCACUAGCUCACUCUCCAUCCCCGUUUUGGAGAA